GCUACGGAUAGAACCGUUUGGUUCUAUGGUGGGAGAGCGUUCUAAGGGCGACGAAGGUGAACCGUGAGGAUUGCUGGAGCGUUUAGAAGUGAGAAUGCCGGUAUGAGUAGCGAGACACGGGUGAGAAUCCCGUGCACCUAACGACUAAGGUUUCCAGGGGAAGGCUCGUCCGCCCUGGGUUAGUCGGGACCUAAGCUGAGGCCAAACGGCGUAAGCGAUGGAUCGCAGGUGGAGAUUCCUGCACCAGUGAUGUUUGUUUGAACGAAGGAUGGACGCAGUAGGCUACGGAUAGCGCGCUGAUGGAAUAGCGCGUCCAAGCAACGAGUCUUGGGAGGAGUCAAAUGCUUCUCCCAGCGACGGAUGAGUUGUGAUGGGGAGGGAAGUAAAGUACCGAAGGACCGGAUGUCACACUGUCAAGAAAAGAUCCUAGUGAGAACAUCACUGCCCAUACCGCAAACCGACACAGGUGGUCGAGUGGAGAACACUCAGGUGAGCGAGAGAACUCUCGUUAAGGAACUCG
rnacentral:rRNA from 1 species